ACAGGGAUUGCCCUCAGUAACGGCGAGUGAAGCGGCAACAGCUCAAAUUUGAAAUCUGGCGUCUUUGGCGUCCGAGUUGUAAUUUGCAGAGGGCGCUUUGGCAUUGGCAGCGGUCCAAGUUCCUUGGAACAGGACGUCACAGAGGGUGAGAAUCCCGUACGUGGUCGCUAGCCUUUACCGUGUAAAGCCCCUUCGACGAGUCGAGUUGUUUGGGAAUGCAGCUCUAAAUGGGAGGUAAAUUUCUUCUAAAGCUAAAUACUGGCCAGAGACCGAUAGCGCACAAGUAGAGUGAUCGAAAGAUGAAAAGCACUUUGGAAAGAGAGUUAAAAAGCACGUGAAAUUGUUGAAAGGGAAGCGCUUGCAGCCAGACUUGCCUGUAGUUGCUCAUCCGGGUUUUUACCCGGUGCACUCUUCUAUAGGCAGGCCAGCAUCAGUUUGGGCGGUUGGAUAAAGGUCUCUGUCAUGUACCUCUCUUCGGGGAGAACUUAUAGGGGAGACGACAUGCAACCAGCCUGGACUGAGGUCCGCGCAUCUGCUAGGAUGCUGGCGUAAUGGCUGUAAGCGGCCCGUCUUGAAACACGGACCAAGGAGUCUAACAUCUAUGCGAGUGUUUGGGUGUCAAGCCCGAGCGCGUAAUGAAAGUGAACGGAGGUGGGAACCUUUCGGGGUGCACCAUCGACCGAUCCUGAUGUCUUCGGAUGGAUUUGAGUAAGAGCAUAGCUGUUGGGACCCGAAAGAUGGUGAACUAUGCUUGAAUAGGGUGAAGCCAGAGGAAACUCUGGUGGAGGCUCGCAGCGGUUCUGACGUGCAAAUCGAUCGUCAAAUUUGGGCAUAGGGGCGAAAGACUAAUCGAACUAUCUAGUAG
rnacentral:rRNA from 1 species